rnacentral:misc_RNA from 1 species
GAUGAAGAACGCAGCGAAAUGCGAUAAGUAGUGUGAAUUGCAGAAUUCAGUGAAUCAUCGAAUCUUUGAACGCACAUUGCGCCCCUUGGUAUCCCGAGGGGCAUGCCUGUUCGAGCGUCAUUUCACCACUCAAGCCUGGCUUGGUGUUGGGCGACGUCCCCUUUGGGGACGCGCCUUGAAACGCUCGGCGGCGUGGCACCGGCUUUAAGCGUAGCAGAAUCUUUCGCUUUGGAAGUCUGGCCCCGUCUGCCGGAAGACCUACUCGCAAGGUUGACCUCGGAUCAGGCAGGGAUACCCGCUGAACUUAAGCAUAUCAAUAAGCGGAGGA